GCAGGAUGUCAAAAUUGGCAUUUCCCAAUUCCAUGUAUCCUUCGCUGGGGAGGCUAUCCCAUAACACCUUGUGCCGAAGGGAAAAGGGACUAAAGUGGGCACCUGAUCGCGUUUCACUCCAUUGCAUUGGCUUGGCAGGAGAAACAGUACUACCCAACUCGUUUGGAGGUUGAAGGACAUCCCACCCUGACACCCUGCAGAUGUAAAGAUCUUGUUGUGAACCUCCCAGCCACCAGGAUAAUCACCAUAUCCCAGGAUAUUAUUCAGGAGUGUGUUAGAUAGAAAUAGAUUAAUCCAUGUUAUUGUUUAUCAUGCAGAUUUGUCAGGACAUUGUAACUUAUGAAGCUCAUUCCAAAAUACAGAUGUGAUUUCUGUCCCAGGGGAUUGCACUGUGGGCAAGUCUUCAAUUUAGACUACAAUUAGUUGAAUGAGGUGUUAGUGAAGGGCUGGAACAAAAACCUGGAAAGUCCUGUGUAUAAAAAAAAAACCCUGUGGAUAUCAUGAUAAAAUUUGCCGUCAUGUACUGAACAAGCUUAUGAAUGUUGCAGCUUACAACCAUAAAAAAAAAAAAAAAGUUUAUCCCCUAAUGUCAGUCGCUCCUACGCCCCUGGUUUAUACACCUGCAUACUGUUUGAGUUUCACUUAGCAAACUUUAGCUUGUUUUCUCUCCACCUGCAUUGCGUAUGCUGAUAAAAGUGUGCAAUCCACCACUCUGUAGGUGAUAAGGGCUAUGUGAGGGGU